rnacentral:rRNA from 1 species
CCUACGGGAGGCAGCAGUGAGGAAUAUUGGUCAAUGGACGAGAGUCUGAACCAGCCAAGUAGCGUGAAGGAGGACGGCCCUAUGGGGGGUAAACUUCGUUUAUAGGGGAAUAAAAUGAUCCACGUGUGGGAUUUUGUAUGUACCAUAUGAAUAAGGAUCGGCUAACUCCGUGCCAGCAGCCGCGGUAAUACGGAGGAUCCGAGCGUUAUCCGGAUUUAUUGGGUUUAAAGGGAGCGUGGGUGGAUUGUUAAGUCAGUUGUGAAAGUUUGCGGCUCAACCGUAAAAUUGCAGUUGAAACUGGCAGUCUUGAGUACAGUAGAGGUUGGCGGAAUUCGUGGUGUAGCGGUGAAAUGCUUAGAUAUCACGAAGAACUCCGAUUGCGAAGGCAGUUCACUGGACUGCAACUGACACUGAGGCUCGAAAGUGUGGGUAUCAAACAGGCUUAGAUACCCUUGUAGUC